rnacentral:rRNA from 1 species
GGUUAAGCGACUAAGCGUACACGGUGGAUGCCCUGGCAGUCAGAGGCGAUGAAGGACGUGCUAAUCUGCGAUAAGCGUCGGUAAGGUGAUAUGAACCGUUAUAACCGGCGAUUUCCGAAUGGGGAAACCCAGUGUGUUUCGACACACUAUCAUUAACUGAAUCCAUAGGUUAAUGAGGCGAACCGGGGGAACUGAAACAUCUAAGUACCCCGAGGAAAAGAAAUCAACCGAGAUUCUCCCAGUAGCGGCGAGCGAACGGGGAGCAGCCCAGAGCCUGAAUCAGUGUGUGUGUUAGUGGAAGCGUCUGGAAAGGCGCGCGAUACAGGGUGACAGCCCCGUACACAAAAAUGCACAUGCUGUGAGCUCGAUGAGUAGGGCGGGACACGUGGUAUCCUGUCUGAAUAUGGGGGGACCAUCCUCCAAGGCUAAAUACUCCUGACUGACCGAUAGUGAACCAGUACCGUGAGGGAAAGGCGAAAAGAACCCCGGCGAGGGGAGUGAAAAAGAACCUGAAACCGUGUACGUACAAGCAGUGGGAGCACGCUUAGGCGUGUGACUGCGUACCUUUUGUAUAAUGGGUCAGCGACUUAUAUUCUGUAGCAAGGUUAACCGAAUAGGGGAGCCGAAGGGAAACCGAGUCUUAACUGGGCGUUAAGUUGCAGGGUAUAGACCCGAAACCCGGUGAUCUAGCCAUGGGCAGGUUGAAGGUUGGGUAACACUAACUGGAGGACCGAACCGACUAAUGUUGAAAAAUUAGCGGAUGACUUGUGGCUGGGGGUGAAAGGCCAAUCAAACCGGGAGAUAGCUGGUUCUCCCCGAAAGCUAUUUAGGUAGCGCCUCGUGAAUUCAUCUCCGGGGUAGAGCACUGUUUCGGCAAGGGGGUCAUCCCGACUUACCAACCCGAUGCAAACUGCGAAUACCGGAGAAUGUUAUCACGGGAGACACACGGCGGGUGCUAACGUCCGUCGUGAAGAGGGAAACAACCCAGACCGCCAGCUAAGGUCCCAAAGUCAUGGUUAAGUGGGAAACGAUGUGGGAAGGCCCAGACAGCCAGGAUGUUGGCUUAGAAGCAGCCAUCAUUUAAAGAAAGCGUAAUAGCUCACUGGUCGAGUCGGCCUGCGCGGAAGAUGUAACGGGGCUAAACCAUGCACCGAAGCUGCGGCAGCGACACUAUGUGUUGUUGGGUAGGGGAGCGUUCUGUAAGCCUGUGAAGGUGUGCUGUGAGGCAUGCUGGAGGUAUCAGAAGUGCGAAUGCUGACAUAAGUAACGAUAAAGCGGGUGAAAAGCCCGCUCGCCGGAAGACCAAGGGUUCCUGUCCAACGUUAAUCGGGGCAGGGUGAGUCGACCCCUAAGGCGAGGCCGAAAGGCGUAGUCGAUGGGAAACAGGUUAAUAUUCCUGUACUUGGUGUUACUGCGAAGGGGGGACGGAGAAGGCUAUGUUGGCCGGGCGACGGUUGUCCCGGUUUAAGCGUGUAGGCUGGUUUUCCAGGCAAAUCCGGAAAAUCAAGGCUGAGGCGUGAUGACGAGGCACUACGGUGCUGAAGCAACAAAUGCCCUGCUUCCAGGAAAAGCCUCUAAGCAUCAGGUAACAUCAAAUCGUACCCCAAACCGACACAGGUGGUCAGGUAGAGAAUACCAAGGCGCUUGAGAGAACUCGGGUGAAGGAACUAGGCAAAAUGGUGCCGUAACUUCGGGAGAAGGCACGCUGAUAUGUAGGUGAAGUCCCUCGCGGAUGGAGCUGAAAUCAGUCGAAGAUACCAGCUGGCUGCAACUGUUUAUUAAAAACACAGCACUGUGCAAACACGAAAGUGGACGUAUACGGUGUGACGCCUGCCCGGUGCCGGAAGGUUAAUUGAUGGGGUUAGCCGCAAGGCGAAGCUCUUGAUCGAAGCCCCGGUAAACGGCGGCCGUAACUAUAACGGUCCUAAGGUAGCGAAAUUCCUUGUCGGGUAAGUUCCGACCUGCACGAAUGGCGUAAUGAUGGCCGGGCUGUCUCCACCCGAGACUCAGUGAAAUUGAACUCGCUGUGAAGAUGCAGUGUACCCGCGGCAAGACGGAAAGACCCCGUGAACCUUUACUAUAGCUUGACACUGAACAUUGAGCCUUGAUGUGUAGGAUAGGUGGGAGGCUUUGAAGUGUGGACGCCAGUCUGCAUGGAGCCGACCUUGAAAUACCACCCUUUAAUGUUUGAUGUUCUAACGUUGACCCGUAAUCCGGGUUGCGGACAGUGUCUGGUGGGUAGUUUGACUGGGGCGGUCUCCUCCUAAAGAGUAACGGAGGAGCACGAAGGUUGGCUAAUCCUGGUCGGACAUCAGGAGGUUAGUGCAAUGGCAUAAGCCAGCUUGACUGCGAGCGUGACGGCGCGAGCAGGUGCGAAAGCAGGUCAUAGUGAUCCGGUGGUUCUGAAUGGAAGGGCCAUCGCUCAACGGAUAAAAGGUACUCCGGGGAUAACAGGCUGAUACCGCCCAAGAGUUCAUAUCGACGGCGGUGUUUGGCACCUCGAUGUCGGCUCAUCACAUCCUGGGGCUGAAGUAGGUCCCAAGGGUAUGGCUGUUCGCCAUUUAAAGUGGUACGCGAGCUGGGUUUAGAACGUCGUGAGACAGUUCGGUCCCUAUCUGCCGUGGGCGCUGGAGAACUGAGGGGGGCUGCUCCUAGUACGAGAGGACCGGAGUGGACGCAUCACUGGUGUUCGGGUUGUCAUGCCAAUGGCACUGCCCGGUAGCUAAAUGCGGAAGAGAUAAGUGCUGAAAGCAUCUAAGCACGAAACUUGCCCCGAGAUGAGUUCUCCCUGACUCCUUGAGAGUCCUGAAGGAACGUUGAAGACGACGACGUUGAUAGGCCGGGUGUGUAAGCGCAGCGAUGCGUUGAGCUAACCGGUACUAAUGAACCGUGAGGCUUAACCUU